CGCCCAGACUCCUACGGGAGGCAGCAGUGGGGAAUAUUGCGCAAUGGGGGGAACCCUGAUGCAGCGACGCCGCGUGAGUGAAGAAGUAUCUCGGUACGUAAAGCUCUAUCAGCAGGGAAGAAAAUGACGGUACCUGAGUAAGAAGCCCCGGCUAACUACGUGCCAGCAGCCGCGGUAAUACGUAGGGGGCAAGCGUUAUCCGGAUUUACUGGGUGUAAAGGGAGCGUAGACGGCCAGACAAGUCUAAAGUGAAAAACCAGCGCGUAACGUUGGAAGUGCUUUGGAAACUGCCGGGCUAGAGUGCAGGAGGGGCAGGCGGAAUUCCUAGUGUAGCGGUGAAAUGCGUAGAUAUUAGGAGGAACACCAGUGGCGAAGGCGGCCUGCUGGACGGCAACUGACGUUGAGGCUCGAAGGCGUGGGGAGCAAACAGGAUUAGAUACCCCAGUAAAU
rnacentral:rRNA from 1 species